rnacentral:rRNA from 1 species
AGAGUUUGAUCCUGGCUCAGGAUGAACGCUGGCUACAGGCUUAACACAUGCAAGUCGUGGGGCAGCGGAUGCUUAGCUUGCUAAGUAUGCCGGCGACCGGCGCACGGGUGAGUAACGCGUACCGAACCUGCCCAUCACACAGGGAUAGGCUUGCGAAAGCAAGAUUAAUACUGAUGGUCUCAGUUGUAUGCAUGUAUGAUUGAGUAAAGCCUUCGGGCGGUGAUGGAUGGCGGUGCGUCCCAUUAGGACGUUGGCGGGGUAACGGCCCACCAAUCCUUCGAUGGGUAGGGGUUCUGAGAGGAAGGUCCCCCACAUUGGAACUGAGAUACGGUCCAAACUCCUACGGGAGGCAGCAGUGAGGAAUAUUGGUCAAUGGGCGAGAGCCUGAACCAGCCAAGUAGCGUGCGGGAUGAAGGCCCUUGUGGUCGUAAACCGCUUUUAUCAGUGAAUAAAGUGCACCACGUGUGGUGUCAUUGCAGGUAGCUGAAGAAAAAGGACCGGCUAAUUCCGUGCCAGCAGCCGCGGUAAUACGGAAGGUCCGGGCGUUAUCCGGAAUUAUUGGGUUUAAAGGGAGCGCAGGCGGGAGUAUAAGUCAGCUGUUAAAUAUCAGAGCCCAACUCUGUUAUGCAGUUGAAACUAUAUUUCUUGAGUACGCACAGGGAUGGCGGAAUUCAGGGUGUAGCGGUGAAAUGCUUAGAUAUCCUGAAGAACUCCGAUCGCGAAGGCAGCCAUCCGGAGCGUAACUGACGCUGAGGCUCGAAGGUGCGGGUAUCGAACAGGAUUAGAUACCCUGGUAGUCCGCACGGUAAACGAUGAAUACUCGCAGUUCGGCCGUUUAGGUCGAGUUGUCCAGCGAAAGCGUUAAGUAUUCCACCUGGGGAGUACGCCGGCAACGGUGAAACUCAAAGGAAUUGACGGGGGCCCGCACAAGCGGAGGAACAUGUGGUUUAAUUCGAUGAUACGCGAGGAACCUUACCCGGGCUUGAACCAAGAGUGCGGAGUGCAGAGAUGCGCUUUUUCUUCGGACACUUUUGGAGGUGCUGCAUGGUUGUCGUCAGCUCGUGCCGUGAGGUGUCGGCUUAAGUGCCAUAACGAGCGCAACCCUUUUCUACGUUUGCCAUCGGGUAAUGCCGGGAACUCCGUGGAUACUGCCGCCGCAAGGCGGAGGAAGGUGGGGAUGACGUCAAAUCAGCACGGCCCUUACGUCCGGGGCUACACACGUGUUACAAUGGUCGGAGCAGCAGGAAGCUACCUGGCGACAGGAUGCUGAUCCCAAAACCCGGCCUCAGUUCGGACUGGAGUCUGCAACCCGACUCCACGAAGCCGGAUUCGCUAGUAAUCGCGCAUCAGCCAUGGCGCGGUGAAUACGUUCCCGGGCCUUGUACACACCGCCCGUCAAGCCAUGAAAGCCGGGGGUGCCUGAAAGCCGUGACCGCGAGGGUCGGCCUAGGGUAAAACCGGUGAUUGGGGCUAAGUCGUAACAAGGUAGCCGUACCGGAAGGUGCGGCUGGAACACCU